UGUUAAGCCUAUUUGUAUUGAAGAGUAUCAACUCAACUCUGAUAAGAAAGCAAGUAAAUAGCAAGUACUGUUAUCCAGAAUCCGUACGAAGAACGUCAAAUGAUUUAUUGAAGAUUUUAUGUCAGAAGAAUUUCAGGAUGCUGCUGCAAACCACUGGAAGAAGUUCAUUAAUAUGUUCAAGCCUCAGCGUACAAAUAAUCUUUUGUGGCACGUCCAGA
rnacentral:lncRNA from 1 species